rnacentral:lncRNA from 10 species
CCAGCUGUGACACAGAAAGGUUGUUCCUACUUUGGCCAUUGGAGCUCUUUCCAGUUAGCUUCUCUUCCUUGGACAGCUUCCAUACGUUUUUGAGCACUUCCUUAUUUCUGACACCAGAAGAUGACUCAGGCUUGACUUGUAUUCUCCCCGUCCAACAAUGGAAUCUGCCAUUUCUCCAAGGAGCCCUGAUUCCUUUUAUUUGAGCGUGGUAUUAAAGGGAGCCUAGUCUGUGUCAGCUACCAUCUGGCAGUAUGUACCAUAGUAGUGAGCAAAAUCAGUAUGAUCUCAUGGAACUUAUCAUCAAAGGAAAGGUAAGGCAAAUGACCACUAGGAAAGCACACAUGAAAGAAAUGAAAAUUGUGAUAUGUGUUAUAAAGAAAACAUAAAGAAAGCAUAAAAUGCCACAUAAAUGAUCAC